CGGAGGUCGGGCGUCGAGCUCCUGCCACGGAAACCUCCACACUAUUCGAUCUUCGCACAGGCUGAAAACGGUUCGGCUCUGGAAACGGUGAUAGUGCAGGGCUUUUAAUACGUUGCUUCUUCCUGGAGUCUUGGACCGGCGGACAGGACUUAUCUCCAUCGGGCUGUGCAGUGAUUACCGCAGAAGUUUCUGCACCAUCUGGUGCACGGGGAGCGACAGAUGGGACUCUCGUAUUUAUUCCUGGAAACGGUGUUACGAUCCAAGCAGAAGCCCUCGCCGUCCCAGGAAAACAGGUUGUUACUGUCUGGCAGUGUAGCCGUGCUCUCGAGUCUGGUGGCCCCUCUUGUCGGGCUGCAAGCAGCGUGAAGUUACCGUCAGUUCUGUGAUAGAGGUCUUUCCUCUUCGUCCACUGAUUCCUGGCACUUGCACGAUGGGAAUUAAACUUUCUGGCUGGUCGAUUACAUGAAUGACACCACGUGUCACCGUUGAUCAGUCUUACCACGACAGACUUAGCCUCCUUCGAAGCCAACACCAGUGGUGGCGUCCUCCUUUCUAACCUCCCGUGGAUGGCUCUGUAGGCCGUGAGGAAGCUCGCCAGACGGUUCAGUGUUCGCAAUUCUUCAACAAGAUAUGAUGUCGGGAUCCCGAACUGAUGGGAAUAUUGCAGUGUGCUCCGAGACUCGCGAAGACUCUCAUCGCUGUCCAGUUGCUCUCUGUUUUCUAAGCACGUUUCAUCGUGUUCUUUCCUGCUCUCUACCGACAGCCCCUUCUCCAAAGCUGGAUCUCUCUCUUUAGGCCAUACGUCCAGGAUAUCUUGACCAUCCGCUGACACCAAUCCGCCUCUCCAACUACCUUCUUCCGACCCCGCCUCUGAAGAGGUCUUCCGUUCAGUGUUCAUUAGCAAUCCACAGUCUCCUCUUUCCACCUGUGCACACUGUCCUGUGUGCAUGCCAUCUCGAUACGGAC
rnacentral:lncRNA from 1 species